AGGUAAGCUACUAAGAGCAAAUGGUGGAUGCCUUGGCUAGUAGAGGCGAUGAAAGACGUGCCAGGCUGCGAUAAGUCUCGGGGAGCCGUCAAGGGGCUUUGAUCCGGGAAUUUCUGAAUGGGGCAACCCAGUAUAUAGUGAUAUAUACUACCGCAAUGCGGAGCUAACGUUGGGAAUUGAAACAUCUUAGUACCAACAGGAAAAGAAAUCAAAAGAGAUUACGCUAGUAGCGGCGAGCGAACGCGUAAGAGGGCAAACCGUUAGUUUACUAACGGGGUUGUAGGACUGCAACAUAGACUUAAACAAACUAAUAGAAUAACCUGGAAAGGUUGACCAUAGAGGGUGAUAGUCCCGUAUAUGAAAGUGCGUUUAUACUUAGCAGUAUCCUGAGUAGGGCGGGACACGUGAAAUCCUGUCUGAAGCUGGGGAGACCACUCUCCAACCCUAAAUACUACUACUAGACCGAUAGUGCACAAGUACCGUGAGGGAAAGGUGAAAAGAACUGAGGUGAUCAGAGUGAAAUAGAACCUGAAACCAUUUGCUUACAAUCAUUCAGAGCACGAUUCUUUAUGACGUGUGAUGGACUGCCUUUUGCAUAAUGAGCCUGCGAGUUGUGGUGUCUGGCGAGGUUAAGGAAACCCGGAGCCGUAGCGAAAGCGAGUCUUAAUAGGGCGUAUAGUCAGAUGCUGCAGACCCGAAACGAUGUGAUCUAUCCAUGAGCAGGUUGAAACUGGUGUAAGAGCCAGCGGAGGACCGAACAGACGGCCGUUGAAAAGGCUCCUGAUGACUUGUGGAUAGGGGUGAAAGGCCAAUCAAACAUCGUGAUAGCUGGUUCUCUCCGAAAUAUAUUUAGGUAUAGCGUUGUGUCGUAAUUAUAAGGGGUAGAGCACUGAAUGGGCUAGGGCAUAUACCAAUGUACCAAACCCUAUCAAACUCCGAAUACUUAUAAUGUAAUCACAGCAGUCAGGCGGCGAGUGAUAAAAUCCGUCGUCAAGAGGGGAACAACCCAGACUAACAGCUAAGGUCCCUAAAUCUCAUUUAAGUGGAAAACGAUGUGGAGUUACUGAAACAACCAGGAGGUUGGCUUAGAAGCAGCCAUCCUUUAAAGAAAGCGUAAUAGCUCACUGGUCUAGUGAUUCUGCGCGGAAAAUAUAACGGGGCUAAAAUGAGUACCGAAGCUUUAGACUUGCACUUAAUUCUAAUUAUAAAUUUGGCUAUGAGCUUUUAAGUUAUAUUUCUCAUAAUUUAAUUGCACUCAUAUAAAUUAAAUUAUGAGAAAAUAGUUUAGCUAAAAUAAUUAGAAGUAAUUAGAAUUAAGUGCAAGUGGUAGGAGAGCGUUCUAUUCAGCGUUGAAGGUAUACCGGUAAGGAGUGCUGGAGCGGAUAGAAGUGAGCAUGCAGGCAUGAGUAGCGAUAAUUGAUGUGAGAAUCAUCAACGCCGAAAACCCAAGGUUUCCUACGCGAUGCUCGUCAUCGUAGGGUUAGUCGGGUCCUAAGCAAAGUCCGAAAGGGGUAUGCGAUGGAAAAUUGGUUAAUAUUCCAAUACCAAUUAUUAUGUGCGAUGGAAGGACGCUUAAAGUUAGUGGAGCUAGCGGAUGGAAGUGCUAGUCUAAGGGUGUAGGUUGAGUUAUAGGCAAAUCCGUAACUCUUUAUCCGAGACCUAAAAGGCUCAUGACGCUCUUCGGAGUAGAUUGAGAAUCCAUGAUACUAUCGAGCCAAGAAAAGUUUCUAAGUUUAGUAAU
rnacentral:rRNA from 1 species